AGGAGACCGCUCGAAGACGAUGAAGUUCUUCCAUGCUUUGGACGCAAUCCUGCAGUCCGAACCGACCGCACAGUUAACAGAGGAGAAGGACGGUAACAGCAAGUGCCUGGCAACCCUGAGCCCAGUUACCGCUCCAGAGAUCGCCGAAGAAACAAUGUCUACACCUGUCAAGAAAACAUCUCCCAAGACCAUUGCAAACCGGUUUCCUCAAAGCUUAACCGACCUGGAAGGUUCUACAGGAUGUUUCUUCCAUCUGGACCCUCACCUCCACCAGGUAAGUUUCACACAUGUUGAGACGUAUAAACACAUGUGGUAUUAGCCAUUGGUUUUAAUUUCUGUUCUGGAACUCGACCACUCGCAGAGGACGUGGUCAUUUCCUAAUUAACAAAACUCAAUCAUAUACUUUCCUUCACUAAACAAAACACAGGAGAAGCUAGGCACUUUGUACUUUUUUG
rnacentral:lncRNA from 1 species